AGAACGGACCUUGGGCCUAACUCAACCCCAAAAGCUAGCUUAUGAGAUGAGGAUUGCCCAAGCCAUAUAAGGAGACCAAGGACCUCAAAUCCCUCCGAUGUGGGACAACUCAACACAAGCUUCAAACUAACAUGGUUCAUGCAAUAUUCAAACUAACUGCAAAUUUCCAUUAUGAUCCAACAAAAGAAUGAAACCUUACACUUCUAUUAAGAAAAGUACUUGACAACAUCAAGAAAGAAAAUAGAUCUCUGAAAAGUUGAGUGAGAAACAAUAGCAAACCCAAUCAGAAAACCAAAAACAGCUUCCAUAGCCGAGAAAUCUAGAAGAUAGUGAGAAAAAUCAGAAGGAGUUCUUUUCUAAUAGUGAAAGAGAGAGACUCCAAAGUAGUGCAGAAUCAAUAUAUAUUUUUUUAGGACUAAAAUGUAUAUCCAUCUCCGUGUAUAGUGAAAAGAAAAAUUGAAUUUAUAGAAUGAGGAGGUGAAAAGGGAUUAGAAUU
rnacentral:lncRNA from 1 species